rnacentral:rRNA from 1 species
UACGUAGGCAGCGAGCGUUGUUCGGAGUUACUGGGCGUAAAGGGUGUGUAGGCGGUUGUUUAAGUUUGGUGUGAAAUCUCCCGGCUCAACUGGGAGGGUGCGCCGAAUACUGAAUGACUUGGAGUGCGGGAGAGGAGAGUGGAAUUCCUGGUGUAGCGGUGAAAUGCGUAGAUAUCAGGAGGAACACCGGUGGCGAAGGCGGCUCUCUGGGCCUUACCUGACGCUGAGGAGCGAAAGCUGGGGGAGCGAACAGG